rnacentral:rRNA from 1 species
AUGAACGCUGGCGGCGUGCCUAAUACAUGCAAGUCGUGCGAACAGACGAGGAGCUUGCUCCUCUGACGUUAGCGGCGGACGGGUGAGUAACACGUGGAUAACCUACCUAUAAGACUGGGAUAACUUCGGGAAACCGGAGCUAAUACCGGAUAAUAUCUUGAACCGCAUGGUUCAAUAGUGAAAGACGGUUUUGCUGUCACUUAUAGAUGGAUCCGCGCCGCAUUAGCUAGUUGGUAAGGUAACGGCUUACCAAGGCGACGAUGCGUAGCCGACCUGAGAGGAUGAUCGGCCACACUGGAACUGAGAAACGGUCCAGACUCCUACGGGAGGCAGAAGUAGGGAAACUUCCGCAAUGGGCGAAAGCCUGACGGAGCAACGCCGAGUGAGUGAUGAAGGUCUUCGGAUCGUAAAACUCUGUUAUUAGGGAAGAACAAAUGUGUAAGUAACUAUGCACGUCUUGACGGUACCUAAUCAGAAAGCCACGGCUAAAUACGUG